GAGUAAAGAUUUCGGUCGCUUUGGGAGGAGCUCGCUUACUAUCAGCUUGUUGGUAGGGUAAUGGCCUACCAAGGCUAUGACGGUUAGGGGGUGUGAGAGCAUGACCCCCAGCAUUGGCACUGAAACACUGGCCAAACACCUACGGGUGGCUGCAGUCGAGAAUCUUCCACAAUGGGGGAAACCCUGAUGGAGCGAUGCUGCGUGCGGGAUGAAGGCCUUCGGGUUGUAAACCGCUUUUGUAGGGGACGAAAUUUUUGACGGUACCCUUUCGAAUAAGAGGUUGCUAACUCUGUGCCAGCAGCAGCGGUAAUACAGAGGCCUCAAGCGUUAUCCGGAUUUACUGGGCGUAAAGCGUCUGUAGGGGGUUUAUUAAGUUCCAAGUAAAAUUUCAAGGCUCAACUUUGAAUUCGCUUGGAAAACUAAUAAACUGGAGUCUAGCAGAGGUGCAUGGAACUUGUGGUGUAGGAGUGAAAUCCGUUGAUAUCACAAGGAACACCAAAGGCGAAGGCAUUGCACUGGGCUAGCACUGACCCUGAGAGACGAAAGCGUGGGGAGCAAAACGGAUUAGAUACCCGUGUAGUCCACGCCCUAAACGAUGAAUGCUAAAUGUUCGGGGAUUCGACCCCCUGGGUGUUACAGCUAACGCGUUAAGCAUUCCGCCUGGGAAGUACGGCCGCAAGGCUAAAACUCAAAGGAAUAGACGGGGAUCCGCACAAGCGGUGGAGCGUCUGGUUUAAUUCGACAGUAAGCGUGGUACCUCACCAGGGUUUGACAUCCCUUGACAGCCUUGGAAACAAGGUUUCCUUCGGGCAAGGUGACAGGUGCUGCAUGGUCGUCGUCAGUUCGUGCCGUGAGGUGUUCCGUUAAGUCGGGGAACGAACGAAACCCCUAUUGCAUGUUACAAUUUCUCAUGCAAGACUGCCCGGAUAUACUGGGAGGAAGGUGGGGAUGACGUCAGAUCUGCAUGGUCCUUAUACCCUGGGCGACACAGGCGCUACAAUGGCAGAGACAAAGGGUUGCAAAACCGCAAGGUGAAGCUAAUCCCAAAAACUUUGUCUAAGUUCGGAUUGAAGGCUGCAAUUCGCCUUCAUGAAGCUGGAAUCGCUAGUAAUCGUGAAUCAGCCACGUCACGGUGAAUAUGUUCCCGGAUCUUGUACUCACCGCCCGUCACACCAAGAGAGUUGGUAGCUCCCG
rnacentral:rRNA from 1 species